GCCUUCAAACCAACUGGGAGUUCGGAACUCGGUCCCAGAAAUCUCAAACUUCCGAGCUUUCAAAACAACAGAACUCGGAAGAUUUUUUUUUAUUUGAAUGGUUAUCGAACUCAGAAUUCCAACUCGAACUCGGGCCUUUUUCUUGAGCUCCGACUUUCCGACCUGAAGAUAACUGACGUCAUGAUUUUACCUCGUAUUUUUUCGAGUUCCCAGUCGUUUUGCACGCGGCACUAGAAAGAACCACUAGUUCCGGAGUUGGAAUUCCGAGCUCGUUUUUCCUCGAGAUCCCAGUUGGUUUGAACGCGGCAGUAGUGAGCUAGCUGGAGGAAGGAACACUCACUCAGUCCACUAUGGCAGAGACGCACAGCUUACAGGAGCUGCAGCAACAAGCAGCCGUCGCCUCCAAAGUGUAUGUCCAGAGGGACUACAACUCGGGUAAAAUCUGCAAGUUCCAGACCAAGUUCCCCUCAGAGCUGGAGUCCAGGGUUGAUAAGCAGCAGUUUGAGGAGACGAUGCAGACACUUAACAACCUUUACGCCGAGGCUGAGAAAAUUGGUGGCAAGUCUUACCUGGAGGGCUGCUUGGCCUGCAUGACCGCCUACACAAUCUUCCUCUGUAUGGAGACUCACUAUGAGAAAGUAUUGAAGAAAAUCGCUAGGUUCGUCAAGGAGCAGAAUGAGAAGAUCUACGCUCCUCUGGGACUGCUGCUGACAGACCCAAUAGAGAGAGGUCUCAGGGUUGUAUCCAUUACUGUCUUGGAGGCUUACACAAACAGGGUUCAUCCCAAAUUGCACUGGUCUGGUCAAAAGUAGGGUAUAGGAUGCCAUUUGGGACACACUCAGACCUUUCAUGUCUACCCUUCUUUAAUGUCCUGCUGGAUCCUAGUUUCCUUAACUAACCCUCUCACCAGGUUGAAAUCACCAUUUUUGAGGACAGAAGUAUUGGCUCCGGAAGAUGAACCACACCAAAGGAUGGCCUAUUUGACCUGGUGCAUCUCAAUUAUCUCACCACACCCAUCAAUAAUUCCUUCUGGAUGUAGAUGGAUGUCUUUCUGGAUGUAGAUAAUUGUUUUUAUUUAUUUCACAAAAGGGAUGGGCUAUGUGUGCUAGUAACCUAUAACCCGCUGAAACAAACACUCCCUGUUUUUACAUGUUUAUUGAGAUUAUUAAUUUGAACAUGUGAAAAUGUCUUAUUCUAGUUAACCAAGACCACACCUUUAGUAUGAAUGGUGCCGUUUUCUUUUGUAUUGCCAUUUUAAACUCUUACUCAUUAAAGGUGCAUUGUGUAAUAUCUCCAAAUACAAAUAGCCUUUAAAGGUGUAGUUCACCCACAGUUUUUAAACCUGUGUUUAAUAGCAUGAACCCUCUUUGGUUCACCAAAUUUACAACAUUAGGAAGAUGGUUCCUUAACUUGACAGUUGUCUACGGGCCAGGAGAAACUGUAAUCCACGACGAUACAUAUGUUUCUACUAAGCCGCUGACACCAACUGGGUGAUUCUCACGAAGCUGGCACUUGACAACAAGAAAUAAACACAUUUUCUGCCACAAUUCCUCUUAGAAUAGGAUCUCUUAUCUAUUUCAGAAUUAUUGUUAUGUUUAUUUAUCAGAUAUUAUGCAUUUCCACAACUACCAAUGCAAACAUUUUCAUUACCGUAAUAGUUUUCUAAGUCCCCAAAAAGUAAUAGACAAACCAAUUUCUAUAUUUUUUUUUAAACAUUGCUCACCUAAAGAAAAGGCCUGAGUUAAACACUGAAAACAAAUAAUUUAAAAUUAAAUUAUUCAUGUGUUUUGUAAUUUUUCAUUACUGCAACAUACAACCUUUUCUGAAUCUUGUUUUUUUUGUGAUAAUUAUAGUUUUUCUGUAAACCUAUUUGGAUAAAGAACAAAAGGCACACUAUCAAAUUAAGCCAACAUUACAAGUAUACAUUUGACUUUUUGUAAUAUUUCCUAAAUAUUGGUUUAUUACGGUAAUGAUAAGUUGGAUCCGGCGAUGAGAAUACAUGUUUUGGUAAUGAGUGUUGCAUAGUUUGCAGUUUAAAAACGGUACUGAGCUCUGUUAGAUUCAUCGUCAAAAUGUGUCAUUUGUCAAUCCCAAAUGAUUUGGGUAAUAUGAAAAUCACUGGUCUUAAUACAAUUGACUAAAAUACCUUAAUUUAGCAUAAGUACUGUAAUUACGUGCAUGUAUUUUCAAAAGUGAAAGUGGACUUAAGCAUAAAAAGGUGACACUUUCUACAGGUAAUAUUGGUGUAUUAGGAUGUGGAUAUGUGUGGUUCUAAGGUAUUUUAGAUGGGUUUGUAAAUUGAAUGGCAUUUUAUGGGCAAAUGGCAUAGCAUGAUAUGCCCAAAAAAUAUCUGUGGGAUAUUUACCAAAAAGAGAGGUAAAACAGGUACACAUGUCAAAAUGGUGGAUAUCCUCCUUUAAGUGGCAGGGCUGCUCUUUGUUGAAACAAACUCCAGAUUGUGGCUUUAGGUAAAUUAAAGGGGUUUACACCCAUAAUUAUUUGAUCCUACUUAAUCGAAUAACUGAUGUUUUACCAAAAAUCUAUACAAUAGGUGUAAGCUGUAGUCCUAGUAAAUAAUUAGUUACCACCACAGCACACCCAUCAACUACACAUUAUAAUAAGGUUAUUAUCGUUACCGAAAUUAAGGUUCUCAUUAACGAAAGACAUAAAAGUGAUGCGGUAAUGAGAGGCACUUAGCUCAGUCUGCUGUCUCCUAUUGCUUGCAAAUGGACCACAUCACUAAAGCCCAUUCAUGCCUCCAUGAUUGUAAGGUGAUGGUUCUCCAAGUUUUUGGUUUUUCCCAAUUUUAGCAUUUCUCUCAUUUUGGUAAUGAGGUCGUCAAGUGUCGUAAAGGGGAGAAUAAGAUCCUCAUUCUGAAGACAUAAAUAAAGAUUAAAUUAACUUUAAGGACUACUUCUCUAGAUGAAGCAUCAUGGGUGAAUAAAACUUUAUAAAAUAUGAAUAUAGGAGUUUUUACAGCCAUUUGAAAAAGUGUUACGGUAAUGAGAAACAUGUCCACAGACACUUUUUUUAUGUAAUAAAUAUAGUUUAAUGUAAACUUCCAACUAGUACAGAAUUUUUAUGAUUUAUCCUCAAACUGCAGAAACAUAUUGUGUUUAUUCAAAUAAGUUAGGAUUUUCUAGUAAUAGUAGUACCAUUUUAUAAAAUUACCCAAUUUGAAUCCGGAUGCAUUUUGGUAAUGAUAAUUUGGGGUGAAAAUGUAAGGCACUAUGCCAUAAACUAAGCAUCUUGGUCUUAAUAAUGAUUGUUGCAGAUGCAUCAUGGUUUUAUAACUCAAUUUGUUACUGCUAUGGUUAAAAGUUGUUUCGUGAGAAUCACCCAACUGCUAACUUGAGCAUUAAUGACCAAAAACAAUGAGAGGGGAAUGGGGCAUUGCUAGCGCGUUCCAACUUGUGGAUAUUUUUUUUGUUCUUGGAGGCUGCAAACUUAAAACAGUAACAACAUUUCAAUCCUGAUAAGUUUCUGGUUUAUGAUUUGUUAUUUCAGGUAUUACUAAAUUGUACUCCUCAAAAAUCAACAAAGUUCAUGCUAAAAUGUGACAUACUGUACCUUUUAUUCAGCCUCCUGUCAUUUUGUAUGCAAAUGUUCAUGAGAACUAAGAGAGUUGGUGUGGGUGCACUUUUGGCCACCUUAGCGGGCUAUGAACUUGUUUCGUAUGCAACAUGUUGUGUGGGUCUGCAUAGUAUUAUGAAGAUGUCUGUUCUGUAGUGACGGUUAACCACAGUGUUUUAAGCACACAGGUUACCUGUUAUUGCCAAUAUGAAUCAGGUUUUCACAUUUGCUAGUUUAAUUUAUGAAUUUGUAAGAAAAGGUUAAAAAUCACUUACCUAGAUCUGACCUCAAUAUUGUCACUGCUUAGCUUGACUUAAUGUGAAUUGACAGGAAUUGGGACUCCAACCCUGACUGUGGUUUAGCAUAAUUAUGAAGUUUUUAGACUACCCCAUAUCCUUGAUGUUGUCCAAUUAUGAUGUGUAAAUAAUUAUUGACCACAACACAAAAUCACCACAGAAACCUUAAGCAUGCUUUGACUCUCAAUGGUGUAUACGACUGCCUGUUAAUUCCUAAUUAUUGUAUUGUUUGUUCUUGUUCUUAUUAUAUGUACUGUAUCGAUUUAAUAAACUAUUUUCUUGAAAAAUCUAAAAAGCCAUACUCAAUUAAAUAUAGCAUGCAUCAAAUUGCAUACAGUUUUGUUUUUACUAGAUCACCUGUGAUGGUAGCUAGCUAGACAAAAUGGCAAAUGAGUCCUUACCAUUUUUAAUAGCAGUUAACAAUAUUCUGCAGUCAAUGGCGUAAUCGUUCAUUAGCAAUAUAAUAAAAUGUAGUUUAUGGGUGCAUUCUGCGCCUGCUCAUAAGGGGAUGCAUUUACACAGAUGGAACCAGCAAUAAUUAUUUGGAAGGGUCUGGCUACUUUUUCUGUUCUUUAAGCGUUGGCUGCCUAUGCUUGGUAAUGUUGUUUGUGUCUGUUGUGUUCAUAGGUUGUAAUGCUUUUCAAUUCUUUCAACCCCCAAAAAUUGCUUGGUAACUUAUUACUUAGUAGUGAUGGGAAAACAAAGCUUCCUGAAGAAUUGAGCAUGUCUAGUCAAUUGUGUCAAACAGAGCCCCACAGUGGAGGUGUCAUAAUACCCAUAAAACUGCUAAAUGUUUCCAAUCAUUUUUCCCAAAGGGAAUUUUAGAAAUAUGUAAAUUAAGGGAUGUGUUUGGUGUAGGCAUACCCUGGCAAGAUGUUUUGAUAACCAUGUACAUUUCUCUCAGACAAGGUGACUUGAAACAACAUGUAUGAUAUUUUUUGUAAUUUUUACCCCAUUUCCCUCCCCCCGAAUUUUGUGAUUACGAUAUUGUCUCAUCACUGCAACUCCCGGACGGGCUCGGGGGAGGCGAAGGUCGAGUCAUGCGUCCUCCGAAACACCAAUGUGUCGGAGGAAACACCGUUCAACUGACGACUGAAGUCGGCCUGCAGGCGCCCGGCCUGCCAUGAGUCACUAGAGCACAAUGAGCCAAGUAAAUCCCCCCCCAAAUUUGAUGUCAUUGUAUGUGAAAUUGUCGAUAUUAAUAUUCUUUGAAAUUAAUAAAUCAUGUAACUCCUCCCAGAAAGUGGUAAUAUGAUCACAGGAAAAUAAAAUAUGUUCAGUAGUUUCAA